rnacentral:rRNA from 1 species
UACGGAGGAUGCAAGCGUUAUCCGGAAUGAUUGGGCGUAAAGCGUCCGCAGGUGGCAAUGUAAGUCUGCUGUUAAAGAGUCUAGCUCAACUAGAUAAAAGCAGUGGAAACUACAUAGCUAGAGUACGUUCGGGGCAGAGGGAAUUCCUGGUGUAGCGGUGAAAUGCGUAGAGAUCAGGAAGAACACCAGUGGCGAAGGCGCUCUGCUAGGCCGUAACUGACGCUCAGACACGACAGCAUGGGGAGCGAACGGG